CAAACAUUCUAUAAGCCAGUGCCAAAGGCAAUAAGUCAUUUGAACUUUGCCUGUGCUGACGACUCCCUGCAGACUUCUCACCGAAUCUCACCUACGGUACCACUGAUAUCAUGAAGACCCUUUAUGUUGUCAUACUCGCAGCUUUGGUGGUUGUGGUGAUGUCACGCGCUCGUCAUCCGAAAAUACCCUUAUCGCCGCUCAAAGAAAAGCUGGCCGAUCUUGGGAUAGAAAUGAAUGGCAAAGAGAUAAGGGAUUUUCAGAGAGAUCCCGCUUGCAACGACGUGUGUUAUGACAAUUGUGAGGAAGAAGUGGAAGCUGGUGAGGCGACAGACUGCAACCAUUGCUGUGAAUAAUAUGUACCCAAAUAUUUUAGGUUUUGUUCCGCAGACCUGGUAUCGUGGAAAUACCAAGGAUUCACGGAGUUUCUUUGCUUUCGACUUUGUAACUCACAGUGUGUAUAGGUGUGUGAACGUAGUUUAUUCAACAGGCGCGAAGAUUGAAAACAGAAUAGCUGUAGUUAAAGGGGGUUUAUGCAAUGUUUGCUUGUUACAUCUAAAAAUGGUUCAUAAUACAAUGACUUUCAAAAGAGCAUCAAUUCACUUCUGCAUGGCAGGCUCUAACCUAGAGUAUGAUUUAAUUUGAUAAAAUCUGAGUGAUUAACGUCUUACUUGAAUGUGAUUUUUUAGAUUUGCAAUUUCCUUUGGAUACUGAGAUAGAUUUCUCACGUCUCGUCAAUACCAUACCGUCACUUCCAACUUCGUGAGGAGGUUGGUGUGUUUUUGCCCUGUUAUCUCCAUCAUUUUCACCAACAACAGACGUGGAACGCCCCUCAAAAUGAACUUAACCAAGUUACAGAUCUUUAACCUUUUCACCCUUAAGAGUGACCAGAAUUUAAUUUCUCCUCUAAAUAUCACCCCAGAAUCACAGAUUAAGGUCAUGAGAAUAAAGGCAAUGAUCACCAACUGGAGAGGCUCUGGAUUGUUCAACAAAUUCUCCUUGUCAGCAUCCUAGGAAAUGUAUAGAGAACAGUAUGGAGAAUAUGCAUACUGAUGUUAGGGUGUAAAGGGUUACAAGGACGAUUCGAUUGAGGCCUUGAGCUGCUGUAUUUCUUUAUUAUUCCAAGCUUUGCCGAUCUACGACAUCGUCACUGAAUGUAAAGAAAACGUUUUACUAUGCGUGAUAUAAAAGCGACGUAAGUGAUACGAUUAAUUAGAAUAUAUGAGUUGGCCAAUUGUGGCGAUGUUAACUCAAAACUUGUUAGGAUUGGAAUCUAUAAGAAUAAAAUAUGUU